rnacentral:sRNA from 1 species
GUUUGCACUCAUCGGGGAAGGGUGAGAACCUUCGACUAAGGUUCGAUUCGAGCGAAAGCGAGAGAACGUUGCCACAGGCAACGGCCCGAAGGGUGAGGAGCGAAGCGACGAAUAUUCCUUCCCCCACCACCA